ACAUACGACCAUAGGGUGUGGAAAACAGGGCUUCCCGUCCGCUCAGCCGUACUUAAGCCACACGCCGGUGAGUUAGUAGUUGGGUGGGUGACCACCAGCGAAUCCUCACUG
rnacentral:rRNA from 1 species